AGGCCGCCCCGAAGACCUCCUGCCCAAAAUACCCCUUGUGAGGGGCUCGUUCGGGGCGAGCGCCUCGGCCGAAAAACCUCCCCCCUCCCCCCUCCCCCGGCAGCCCUGCGUCCUCUAGCUGUUCAUUCACCCCGUUGGCCGAGGGCGUCGGGAAGCGUUGUCGACCCCGGGUAUUUGGUCGAGCCCCUCGUCCGGAUGGCCGGCUUCCCUCCUGGCUGAUGAGGAUCCCUCAGCCGGCCAUUUAGAAAACGCGUCGCGGCGUUAAGAUUCAGGGGUCUUAAGGCUACAUGGUGCCUGCUCUCUGAAAAGGAAAGUGAAACAGUGAAGAGAAACCAGGAAACAGACGACUGACUACUUCUGAUAUUUCUCCGUGUCUCCCACUCUAUUACCUGUCUCUUCACAUGUUUUAGCGGUGCCCUUUUGACACAGUAUCACUGUGAUAAUUAAAACAAAACCCCUCUCGUCUGGCCGGGGGAAUUUGGCCAUCCGGCAAGUGGAACGAUUCCCUUUGAAAUUCGGAUCUGAUGCUAGCGCGCCUAGACCAGAAAGACCCAGUCAACCGAGUUGAAACUGUUUGUUCCAUCUGGCAAAGGCGAAUACGUUUAAAAGCCGGCCACCCCAUUUAAUAAUAGGGAACGUGGCCUUAACUGGGGCAUUCUUUCACGGGAGCCAAAUUGGCCGCAGACCAACUUUGCGUGAAGAACUUGUUUUCCUCAAAAAUAAAUGGAUGAAUGAAUGAAUACAUAAAUAAAUAAAAGUUUCUGGUUUUAAAAAGCUUC